GACGUAGGGCGCGAGCGUUGUCCAGAAUUAUUGGGCGUAAAGAGCUCGUAGGCGGUUUGUCGCGUCUGCUGUGAAAACUCGGGGCUUAACCCCGGGCCUGCAGUGGGUACGGGCAGACUAGAGUGCGGUAGGGGAGACUGGAAUUCCUGGUGUAGCGGUGAAAUGCGCAGAUAUCAGGAGGAACACCGGUGGCGAAGGCGGGUCUCUGGGCCGUAACUGACGCUGAGGAGCGAAAGCGUGGGGAGCGAACAGG
rnacentral:rRNA from 1 species